GGACCGCGGGCUGGUGUUCUCAGAACCGGUGGAGUCGGCUUCCCCUCUUGUGCUGGGCCGAGGCGCCAGUGAGACUUCAGCCAUUGCCACCCCCCCACGCAAAGUCGUUUUUAGAGCCGCGACCGACGCAGAGGGAGGAGAGGGGAGGUGGCUGCCUGAAAAACUGGUUGUACGUGAACCCAGCCCUGUCGCCGGGGGCAGAGGUGAUUUUGGGAAAUAGCCCGCGGGUGGCUUAAGGACGUCCGCUGUGCCCUUAAUUCACAGUAAAUUUGAUUCAGCUGCUUUCUUGAGGCCACGCGACAGAUAAUCCACAGCUGAAGAUUUUGCUGCACUACCUUGAACACAGGGGAGAUCAUGAACAUAGUCCCCAACUAGCGUAAAUUCCACAGUCGAGUUUCCCACAUGUGGGGAGUUCAGAGGGAUCAGUACAUCUGAAGUACAAUGGAAAGCCUGGCCCUGGGAGAACCACCUUCAUGAUCAGGAUAUCUUCCCUGCCAUAUUAUGUUCACUGGACUAUGAAUUCAUUACAGAAAGGCACUAAAUUACCAGCUAAGGGAGUUACAAUGAGAACUGUCAAGACAUGAAAAGAAAAAGAAAAAGAUGGCAGCAGUUGGAAUGCUAAUAAAUCAUUAUGUUCCUAUAACUCUUUAAAGAUGCGUAGAACUCGGGAGGGAGGUUUUGGUGAUGGGGAGCAAUAAUCAGCCACAAUGUAUAUCGACAAAAUAAAAAUUUUAAAAAA